rnacentral:rRNA from 1 species
CCGUACCCAUCAGAGGGGGAUAACACUUGGAAACAGGUGCUAAUACCGCAUAACAGUUUAUGCCGCAUGGCAUAAGAGUGAAAGGCGCUCUCGGGUGUCGCUGAUGGAUGGACCCGCGGUGCAUUAGCUAGUUGGUGAGGUAACGGCUCACCAAGGCCACGAUGCAUAGCCGACCUGAGAGGGUGAUCGGCCACACUGGGACUGAGACACGGCCCAG